rnacentral:misc_RNA from 1 species
GAGCUCACGCUCGCUAUCGGAUCGUUUUAGAAACAUCAGUGGCCAACAGAUCGCCAGAUCGUUGAGCUGCAUUGGCGGGAUUUCGCCGUCUUCGUUUCUCUUUCUUCGCGGACGAACACGCGCUGGGCCUGCAUCAAGCAGGAUCCCACGGUCCCUGACGGGAUAUGCGUUAGGGGCUUGUAGCUCAGUUGGUUAGAGCGCGCGCUUGAUAAGCGUGAGGUCGGAAGUUCAAGUCUUCCCAGGCCCACCACUUUCAUCGAGUGAGCAUUCGUCUUCUGGUUACGGGGCCAUAGCUCAGCUGGGAGAGCGCGUGCUUUGCAAGCAUGAGGUCGUCGGUUCGAUCCCGUCUGGCUCCACCACGCUUCGCCUUUCAGGCUUCGCGUGGCGCAGCCAAGCACGGUCGAAGCGUGCCCGGCGUAGCUCACUUGAGCGUAGACGGGCUGGUUGAGAUCAGCCCGUAACCAUCACCGUCCGCGAAACAUCACUUCGCAUCCUGCUAGUCUGGAUAGACAGCAAGAUGCGUGUUUUCUGACAUCGUAAAGAGGAGAUCGAUCCGAGUUGGGUCGUGCAGCAGAUUGUUGCGCGAAUCCUUCAUUAUCUCCGGAUCAUUUUCGGCGCUCGCUUUCAGCCGUGAGGUUGAAUGCGAGUUGUAAAAUGAUCCUUUUAGCGAAGCUUGACCGCCUCGCUAUCGGAACGAUCUUACGAAGCAAGCUGGUCUUUCUAGUCAAUGUCCGGCUGCACGUAGCAUUCAUCGAGGGUGCGCGCCGUAAGGCAAUCGUGCAGACAACAUUCUGCCGAGUGUGUGGACAUUGAUAAUGAGAGCAAUCAAGUGCCUUAAGGGUGUUCGGUGGAUGCCUUGGCGCUGAGAGGCGAUGAAAGACGUGCUACGCUGCGAUAAGCCGUGGGGAGCUGCGAAGAAGCUUUGAUCCG